rnacentral:rRNA from 1 species
UACGUAGGGGGCAAGCGUUGUCCGGAUUUAUUGGGCGUAAAGCGCGUGUAGGCGGCCAGGUAGGUCCGCUGUGAAAACCCGAGGCUCAACCUCGGGACGUCGGCGGAAACCAUCUGGCUAGAGUCCGGAAGAGGAGAGUGGAAUUCCCGGUGUAGCGGUGAAAUGCGCAGAUAUCAGGAAGAACACCCGUGGCGGAAGGCGGCUCUCUGGGACGGUGACUGACGCUGAGACGCGAAAGCGUGGGGAGCGAACAGG